rnacentral:rRNA from 1 species
GAUUAACGCUGGCGGCGUGCAUAACACAUGCAAGUCGAACGAUGAAACUUAGUCGACUUCUUCGGAAAGACACUAAGCGGAUUAGUGGCGAACGGGUGAGUAACGCGUGAGUAACCUGCCUUACACAAGGGGAUAGCCUUUGGACACGAAGAAUAAUACCCUAUAACACCAUAAAAGCACAUGCUAGAAUGGUCAAAGUGAUAGCGGUGUAAGAUGGACUUGCGUCUGAUUAGCUAGUUGGUGAGAUAAAAGCUCACCAAGGCAACGAUCAGUAGCCGGCUAGAGAGAGAGUACGGCCACAUUGGGACUGAGACACGGCCCAGACUCCGACGGGAGGCAGCAGUGGGGAAUUUAGCACAAUGGGGGAAACCCUGAUGCAGCGACGCCGCGAGAUUUAGAAGGCCUUCGAGUUGUAAAAAUCUUUUGUAUAGGAAGAAAAUGACAGUACUAUACGAAUAAGGUCCGGCUAAUUACGUG